AGAAUGCGUGCCUGGCGAUUGUCACUUGCAGUCGCAACUUUUACAAAGUGGCAGCUGGCCUCCAUGGGACGGUGCAGACAGGGGACUGUCAUUGCUGGAGCACCUCCUGGCUAUCCACAGGAAAUGGAAAAAACAUGCUGUUUUCACAACGCGGACGACACCGUGUCAAAGGAAGUUAUGGAAAAGAGACUGAAAGCAGUGCACUGGUACCCCUUGCAGCAAUUGGAUGUUAUAAAUGUGAUUUCCACAUCACACACAUACCAUGACCUGAAGUUUUGGAUGGAAUGGUGAGCAUAUUUAUGCAGUGAGCCAUCUUAAGUGCCGACUGGCAUACUCUAGUGUUCAAGGGCACUGAAUAUAUUCUAAUUAAGACUGCAAGACUGUAAUACAAUCACAGUCAGAAUUCAUCAAUUCAAUAAACAAUACACAUUUGAACAGUGGUCUCCGGUACAAUGGCAUACCGACAAACAGUAGAAUAGGUAGUAGACAGGUAGUAGACUUGUAGGCUUGUAGACCUGUAAACUUGUAUGCCGAUUGGCUAGUAGACCAUCAAGGUCUGAAAUUAGGGUUAGCCAACAGACAUGUAAGCUGAUAGCUGGUUGGAAUUUUUUACUGGAGAUAUUCAUAUAAAAUUCCAGACCCGCCGUAGUGGCUAAGGCGUACGUACGUUGCUCUACUGAACUGAAAGCUCAGGAUUGAAUCCCGGGCGCGGUGGCAUUUAGAUGGAAGUGAAAUGCACUAGAUGCCUGUGUGCCAUAUGCAUUGGGUGCACAUUAAAAACCACAGGGAGUUAAAAUAAUUCGGAAUGCCUC
rnacentral:lncRNA from 1 species